GCCACAAUCCAAUCAAAUGUUUGUAAUUCUAGGUCCCAUUUUGUGACGAAGGGUGGUGUAAUUGCUGUAUUUAUUCCAUGAUUAAACUUUAUUAACUUAAUAUGAUCUGAAUUGAAUUUAUACCUAAAACUCUUAGGCAAAAAAUAUUAAUCACUUGUGAGGUAUGCGACUACGUUGGUAAAAUUGUCAAUUUCUGAGACAUGUAUUCAUUUGAAGGGGAUUUUCGGCGGAAACCGCAACAAAACUUGUCCGGGGCCAGCGCUCAGCGCAAAACUAACCGAGAUGCUCUCAUUCUUCAGACUCAACAACAAAGACAAAAACGAGAGGAGCACAGGAAGCGUCUCAACAGCACUGUUAAAAUCCAAGCAUUUGUGAGAAGUUACCUGACAAGGAAACACUGCAAGCAGAGUGAGCGGGAGGACUUUGACAACAUAUUCCCUAAAGUCAAUGCGGAAGAUGUUGACAUGUUGUGUGCACUGGUUGUAAAAAUCCUAUUUUUCUAUGAUGGGAAACUUGAUUCUUCUAGACUGGUGUCAGUGUCCCAGCUGUUGUUAAAACAAUGGCGAAAAGUAUUUCAAAAUGGAGGCUGUUAUAUUCAAAUUAGACGAUUGCUUGUCCUUCAUCUGCGGCUGUUAAAAGAAGGAUCAGAGGUACCUUUAGCUGUACCGCUCAGAAUGUUUGAAGUAUUCACUUCUGUAAAUUCAGCAGAAAACUCUAUGAACUCUGAUGAAGUUUUGAGCAAUGUUGCUGGAACAUUUUUAUACUUAGUUAAAAGAGGCUACUUCACAGAGCUACGGGAGCUGUUGUGCCGUAAGACGCCCCCGCUGUAUGGACCUUCUCCCAACCCGCCCACGCCUCUCUGCGGAGCCCUGCUGGACCUAAUACAGAGACCGCUCAAUCUAACCACCCAUGUUCACGUCAGUGGAUAUGAUAACAUGGUUAUGUCAGAAUUCGCAUCAGCAUUCCUCUGCAACCCGUACCCCGAGCCGGUGGAGAUGUACAUAAUACCAGCCCUCUCCGUGGACAGCAGAAAGUUCCCGUUUCUGGCCCUCAUGCAGUGCCUGCAGGAUGACACCAUAUUCAACAAGAGCGUGCUCAACGAUUCAUGGCUGCUGCAUUCUGUGCUGUCGCUAGAACCUCCAGGGUUUGCGAACGAAAUCCGCAACAUCAACAACACAAGACUGCCGAACAACCCCAUCGUCCUAGACUACCUUAAAAUAAUAGCCCAGCUCACCGUCAACGUAUGCAACAAGCAAAUCACGUACGAGUACGAAGACUCCCUGUACAGCCAAGAGACCGCGGCAGACAAGGACGACGAUAGCGACAGCGAGACAGAACCUAAUCCAACCUCUGUGCGGGAACAGAUGCUGCUCACUCGGUGUAUAGAAAUAUUGAACGAGCCGGAUAGAUGUGUGAUGACUACUUGCUCGCAGAUUACAGAGAGUGAUUUGAGUGAGGACUUCUUGGAUUGCUUGUCGAAGAUCUGUCAUAAUUUGUUGCUGAGUCAUAGGAUGGCGUUGCAUAAAUAUAGAUUACUGUACACGCUGGCGUUCAAGCCCAUAUUCCUACGGGGUCUAUGGCACUGGCUCAGCCAUAUGAGUCACGAGUCUUCCUUCGGAGGGUCUGCCACGCCGCUCCUGUCCGCUCUCUCCCGUGGCAUGGGCGCCGAGUCCACCGUCAUAGGCGUCCAUAGGCUACUAGCGCCGCUGGCUGUGUUCUGCGCGCUGUUCUCGCUACUUAUCGGGACGUUGCACGACACGGAGUUCUGCAGGGAUGUGGACGACGAUGAUUCCAUGAGCUGCGAGUCCAUUUAUAACAAUGAUAGCAACGUAUCUCACUUCCCUACCGGCGGCGGCGGCCGAGUCCACGCCUUUGAGUUUUCCGAGCUCGGCGGUCUGUGCCGGAUGCUUCGGCAAGUGUGCCUCGGAUUGGUGGAACUGGCGUAUCCAGAAUCCCGGCCGGCGGUCAAUACGCAGUAUCGAGAUGCAGUCGGAGCGACUAUAGAGCUGGCUGGUAGUCAGACGCCUGCUUGGUCACACUUAUUCAAGGUGUGCACACAUCUCCUUCGUGCGUUAUACGUACGUGACUCACGCCUGUGCUUCAUGCCGCCCGGGUCGUGGCCGGUGCGAGGUUGCGUGCCAGAAGGAGCCGCCGCUGUAUUAGUAGUGGCCGGUACUCACGUGCGACCCAAUCCGCGUCAGUUGCGCCGCCCGCAACACCACCUACAUCAUGUGAGGGACCAGGAUGAGGGACCACCGCUAACAAUCAAAGAGCUCCGGACAGUCACUAUUCUAAGAGAAAUCCCGUUCGUCGUUCCGUUUGCCACGAGAGUCCUUAUAUUCCAAGGAUUACUCGUUAGAGAAAAGCACGAUCACUGGUAUGAGAUGUCAAACUUCAACGAGGGACCUUCAAUAAACAUUAGUGUACGGCGGACGCAUCUGUAUGAAGAUGCUUUUGACAAACUCAGUCCUGACAAUGAGCCGGACAUGAAAUUAAAGCUGCGAGUGCAGCUCAUCAACCAGGCGGGAGCCGAGGAGGCGGGCGUCGACGGCGGCGGACUGUUUAGGGAAUUCCUAUCAGAGUUACUGAAAUCGGCGUUUGACCCCAACAGAGGCUUGUUCCGGCUGACGAAAGACAACAUGCUGUACCCCAAUCCCGGGGUACAUUUGCUGUAUGACGACUUUCCUAUGCAUUACUAUUUUGUUGGCAGAAUGCUUGGCAAGGCAUUAUACGAGAACCUUUUAGUGGAACUACCGUUAGCCGAAUUCUUCCUCGGAAAGCUGUGUUCCUCCCGCGAGCCCGACGUUCACGCGUUGGCGUCUCUAGACCCGGCGUUAUACCGUGGAUUGCUCAUGUUGAAGUCACAUCGGCGGCAGGAUGUGCCUGACUUGGGGCUGGAUUUUACGAUAGUAAGCGACGAGCUAGGAGAACAACGGAUAGAAGAAUUAAAACCUGGUGGAGCUAACAUUCCAGUAACGUCUGAAAAUAGGAUAGAAUACAUACAUUUAGUAGCCGAUUACAAAUUAAACAGACAAAUAAGGUCGCAGUGCAACGCGUUCAAACGCGGCCUAACAUCAGUAGUGAAUGCGGAGUGGCUCCGAAUGUUCUCCUGCCGAGAACUACAGCUGCUCAUAUCGGGUGCAGAAGUUCCAAUAGACCUGGAAGACCUGAGGGCACACACGCAGUAUGCUGGUGGAUUCUCCGCGACGCACCCAACGGUGCAGUGGUUCUGGAAGGUGGUGGAAAACUUCGCGGAUGCACAGCGUCGGCAGCUGCUCAAGUUUGUCACCAGCUGCUCAAGGCCACCACUACUGGGUUUCAAGGAUCUUCAACCCCCGUUCUGCAUCCAAUCUGCCGGCGCAUCCGACCGGCUGCCGUCGUCUUCGACCUGCAUGAACCUGCUCAAGCUGCCCGAGUUCCACUCCGAGCAGCAACUACACGAGAAGCUGCUCUACGCCAUACAGGCCGGCGCCGGCUUCGAGCUCAGCUAGAGUGAGUCCGCACUAGUAUUACAGCACGCGUGCGACAGGGACAGCACUACUCCUCAACCUGCAUGAACCUGCUCAAGCUGCCCGUUCCACUCCGAGCAACAACUACACGAGAAGCUGCUCUACGCCAUACAGGCCGGCGCCGGCUUCGAGCUCAGCUAGAGUGAGUCCGCACUAGUAUUACAGCACGCGUGCGACAGGGAUAGCACUACUCCUCAACCUGCAUGAACCUGCUCAAGCUGCCCGAGUUCCACUCCGAGCAGCAACUACACGAGAAGCUGCUCUACGCCAUGCAAGCGGGCGCCGGCUUCGAGCUCAGCUAGAGUCACAGUCAUGAGAACAAACUUGUAUGCGUGCAAAUAACUUAAUGAAUUAUUUUGAAAGAUUUUUCAUGAAUAGUACAUCUAAAUGUGAUAAUAUUAUAUCUAAUGACGUUCAGUGUCUUAUUGUGUAUAUAGUAAAAUGUUACCCUAUCCGCUCACUCACUUUAUUUUAAGAUCAUGCAUAUAAUCGUACGAUUGCAGUAUGUUUAUUUUUUUAUGUUCCUAUUUUAUAAUAAAUAUCUUGACGUAUUUAAAAUACUUGGUAUCAUCAAUUCAUCACACGAAGAAGCGGGUUUAAGUAUAUAUUGGCCUGGUUCUCGAAAAAGGGACUUUAAAGUGGCUAGAGGCGUACACAAGUGGCCAAUAUUUUCGCUACCUAGCGUGAACGACUAGCUACUUGUCUAUGCGCCUUGGCCCUUACGCAAAUAUUGACUAUGCUCCAAUAAAAUGAGACUUUACAUCGAAUUAUAGUCCCUAGUAACGACUCAUUAGACCAUAGUUUCAAUAUAAUUUUAUGUGAAUCUACUUCUACGUGUAAAUAUAUUGGCAAAACACCGUAUUUGUGUAAGUAGCUAGUCUGGAUUGAUAAUGUUUAUAUUUGACGUGUAAUAGGAAAUGAUUAUUAUGAAAUUUCGAAUGCAAUUGUACAUAGUCACAACGACUGUUUAGUUGAGGCACAAUUCUUGCACAUUUUUAUUAAAAAAACACGAUACGAAUUCAGAGCUUGUAUUCUGUUUUGAAACACGUUUCGUAUCGAAAUCGAGAGAACUUCCUAAAAUCAUGAUAAAACUGUCGAUUCGAAAUUUUGUCGUUAAUGGGGUGAGUAAAAUUGCCGGAGGCUGUGCACAUUUUUUAUUGUUAAUUAAAUGUGAAUAACAACUAUGAUUCUUAAACUGUAUGUUUAAUAAGUCAGCCAGUACGUUUUCUUAUUAGUUACUGAAUAUCAUGGUUAAAUAUAUCGUCACUACUUUGAAAAAAUCUCGUAUCUCACGCUGCUCCUCAAAGUUAAAACGCAGUAAGUAUAUAUGCAUUCAAUAUAUACUACAAUUUUCUUUUCAUUGACAGACGAAGAUAAAAGGUUUUUUUAAAGUAGUGACGAUAUAGUCAUAUUGACACCAGCAUAAAUAAGAUCGAAUGGUGAAUUACUAACAGUAAUUUUUAUUAAGUAAGUUAUGCUUUUUAGUAUUGAAAACAAGUCAAGAAAUUUGGCUCAACUACACAGUCGUAAUUAGUUAAAUGGUUGGGUAUAAAUGCAUAGUUAGUUAUAUUUACCGUGUCGGUCUGGUACCUGUAUAUUAUCCGUGACGAUUUGUGUCAAAUUUGCGUUUUUAUUUUAGAUUCUAUAUUUUUAGUACCUAUUUAAUAAAGUUGUCGUACCCUUCA